AAAAAUCGAGCUGAUACAAUUAAAAAUAUUUUGCUCUUACUACCAACAGACACUAUUUUAUCAGAAUACAGCACGAAUUGUUUAAAGAAGAAAAAAAAGUUUAAAGAGUUGACAAGUCUAUGUAACGCUGUCACUAAGGCUGCUUUAAAGUAAAAAAAAACUUAACCAAAAUGGAUGCUAUCCAACUAAUUGGGAGAGUAAUUAGGCAUUCUUCUGACCGAAUAAAGAGAACAUCAACUAAUAUGGAUUUCGAUCGAUGAUGGCUUAAUUAACUGUUGUAUUUUUUUUAUUUUUUUUUUAUUUUUAAGCAAUUUUCUUCUAUUUAUA
rnacentral:lncRNA from 1 species